GACUGCGCUCCACUUGGCCUGUGCCAAUGGCCAUUCAGCGGUGGUCACUCUGCUCCUGGAGAGAAAAUGCCUGCUAACCUCUGUGACGAUGAAAACAGGACCGUGCUGAUGAAGGUAUGGGGCAGCGAACCGUGUCCACACGAGGUGGAUGUGAUCUAACUACUGAGACUCAAAGUGAAUUAUCUCAUUUAGAUAUAGCAAACCGGUGAAGCCUGUGGCCUGUUUACUUUGAAUUCCUAGAAUUUACACUCUGUUUCUUGGCACAACACUGACAGGCCGUAGAAUGCCAAGAAGAGGAGUGUGCGACUCUUCUGCUGGAGCAUGGUGCCGACCCAAAUGUCAUGGACGUCUGUGGGAACACCACUCUCCACUAUGCUGUCUUUUGCCAGAAUAUAUCACUCGCAGCAAAGCUGCUUUCCUGCGACGCCAAUAUAGAAGCCAGGAACGAGAAACCACUGUGGAACAUCAUAACCAAAGCUCCAACUUCCAGUACUUAGAAAACUUAAGUGUAAGGAGAGCGGAAGUGUUAAUCCUUCAGUCGUGUCUGACUCAUUGCAACCACAAGGACUGGAGCCCACCAGGCUCUUCUGUCCAUGGAAUUCUUCAAGCAAAAAUACUGGAGUGUGUAGCCAUGCCCUUUUCCAGGGGAUCCUCCUGACCCAGGGAUCGAACCUGCGUCUCCUGCAUUACAGGCAGAUUCCUGACUGUCUGAGCCAUCAGGGAUGCCCAUCAGGAAAGUGUAAACAUGACAUCACUAAAUACUAUACACUCAAAAUGGAAAAAGCUCUAAAUACUUUUGAAUUCAUUGGAAGUUUGAGCUGUAUGAGAAGCAAACGUGCUAGCUCCUCCAAGGACUUGCUCUCAAUGUAGAGCCAAGUCCCUGUUUCCCUACAAACCCAAAAGCCUAUUCUCACAGGUCCCCAGUUAGGGUCUCUGAUGCCUACAAAUACCUGCUCCUCUCGUGGAACAGCAACCACUUACUACAGCAAGCGAGGAUGGAGAGAGCUUUUUUCCCUAUGUGUGUGUUUCAGGAAUGGAGAAAGAAAGGAAAAAUAAGAAAAUGAUCAUGAUGUACGGACUAGACUGUAUUUCUAAAGAUUUGAAAGGCUUUUUCUACCGUCAAUUCAUCCCACAACCAAGUGUAAGUACCUAUGAUGCCCCAGAUUCAUGAAAAACAUCUCGAGGGCUUCCUCUCUUGGCAUCUCUGGGGUCACAUGCUACUUGAGACACUGCAGAUUUAAAAAUGAAUGAUUUCACCUGUCCACAAGGUAGCUCUCAAAACACACACAAGUUACUAUACAUAAGGCAUGACAGGUGCUACACAAACGCACUUAUGAAAUGCUAUGGGAGUGAAGACAAGUGACCAGUUAGGAAUGAUGAAAAAGGCUUUAUGAAGAGAUCAGCCUCACAAGGUGAGCAGGAUCCAGGAACACAAAAGAAACGCAUGGCAGUGGAGUGGUGGAAGUCGGGUUUCAUCACAUGGAGAGGCUCAUGAGGAUGAAAAGGGAAUCUGCAAACACAGGGUACAAAGGCCCUCAAGUAUAAUGCUAAUCAACUUGGACUUUAUCUUAGAGGGAUUCAGAGAAUUAUCUCACUUUUCUAAGCAGGGUCAAUGCCUGGUCAAAUUUACACCUUAGAAUGGGAACUCUGGAGGCAGGCAGAGGAUGAGUAAACAUGCAGACUGUCACGGAAACAAGGCAGAAAGUCACUCUACUAACAGAGGCAAGAGUUGGUCAAGGACUGAGGGCAGCGGUGGCAAAAACAGGGAGAAGGGGAAAGUGAAGACCAACACUGGAGAGAUCAGAAGAGAAAAAACAACAAAGGCAACUGACAUUGCUAGCCAGAUCUCAGCGAUAACAGCAUUAACCACAUGUAAAGAAGUAAUCGUGCUUGCAUUUUAAUCAUUUCUUCCAGGAGUCAAGGGAGAAUGAAAGUUUUCAGUUUUGAAAAUGCUUCCUUGUUUUGUUUUCAAAUUAUCUGUCGAGUGACAGGUUAAGCUCCAGGAGGUAUUUUGAAAUAGGAAACUAGCCCUCAAAACAUCUGUAAGUGACAGCUGGAGACAGAAGAUUGGAGGUGCUUUGGUGAGAUGCUCUAAGAGCAGACGAUUCCACAGACCAAUGAAAACAGAACUCACAAUCUUUAAAUACAAUCAGCUUAGGAAGGACAGAGGGGGACAAUAAGCAGAGAGAGAGGAUGACAACAAAUCUGAAAUCAGAGCUCUACGUCUAUGAACAAGAGUCUAGUGUUUGCACACUCAGAGGCCACAAAACAUGUCAACCCAUCACUCUGAUGACAACUGCAGAAUGCAACAGAACCACGAAAAAAGAGAGGAAAAGGAAAGAGGAUAGCCAAGUAGCAGUGAUGCCAAGGCAAGCCACAGGAGAAACGAAUUACUACAGGGCACACCACAAUUUCCACACACCUGCACAAAAGGGCCAAGCAGACAAAUGGGGAAACCAGUAAGACCCCAGAACAUCUACUUCCGCAAGCAUAUUGUCAAGACCUGUCCCCUGAACAGCAAGCUUUCGCUCUAGACAAUCUCAGGUGCUGUGAAUAGAUCCACAUACACUGUCCUCUGGUUGCUGAAAGGGGGAUACAGGCCAAAAUAAGUUCCUAAAGAAGACAGAAGCGGGGCUUCUCUGGUGGUCCUGUGGCUGAGACACCACACUCCCAAUGCAGAGGUCGGGUUCGAUCCCUGGUCAGGGCACUAGAUCCUGCAUGCCACAACGAAGACCUGGUGCAGCCAAAUUAAUAAAUAAAAUACUCCUUUUUUUAAAAAAAGAAGA
rnacentral:lncRNA from 1 species